rnacentral:piRNA from 1 species
GUGCCAUACUGUGGGGAUAAGAUC